AUGAACGCUAGCUACAGGCUUAACACAUGCAAGUCGAGGGGAAACGAUGAGAGAGCUUGCUCUCUUAGGCGUCGACCGGCGCACGGGUGAGUAACGCGUAUCCAACCUACCCAUUACAGGGGGAUAACCUUGCGAAAGUAAGACUAAUACCCCAUGGCAUUUUAUGGUGGCAUCAUUAUAGGAUUAAAGAUUUAUUGGUAAUGGAUGGGGAUGCGUCUGAUUAGCUUGUUGGCGGGGUAACGGCCCACCAAGGCAACGAUCAGUAGGGGUUCUGAGAGGAAGGUCCCCCACAUUGGAACUGAGACACGGUCCAAACUCCUACGGGAGGCAGCAGUGAGGAAUAUUGGUCAAUGGGCGAGAGCUUGAACCAGCCAAGUAGCGUGCAGGAUGACGGCCCUAUGGGUUGUAAACUGCUUUUAUAGGGGAAUAAAGUGAGCUACGUGUAGUUUAUUGCAUGUACCCUAUGAAUAAGGACCGGCUAAUUCCGUG
rnacentral:rRNA from 1 species